rnacentral:rRNA from 1 species
AUUGAACGCUGGCGGCAUGCCUUACACAUGCAAGUCGAACGGCAGCACGGAGCUUGCUCUGGUGGCGAGUGGCGAACGGGUGAGUAAUAUAUCGGAACGUACCCAAGAGUGGGGGAUAACGUAGCGAAAGUUACGCUAAUACCGCAUACGAGCUAAGGAUGAAAGCAGGGGACCGCAAGGCCUUGUGCUCCUGGAGCGGCCGAUAUCUGAUUAGCUAGUUGGUGAGGUAAAGGCUCACCAAGGCAUCGAUCAGUAGCUGGUAUGAGAGGACGACCAGCCACGCUGGAACUGAGACACGGUCCAGACUCCUACGGGAGGCAGCAGUGGGGAAUUUUGGACAAUGGGGGCAACCCUGAUCCAGCAAUGCCGCGUGAGUGAGGAAGGCCUUCGGGUUGUAAAGCUCUUUUGUCAGGGAAGAAACGGUGAAGGCUAAUAUCCUUUGCUAAUGACGGUACCUGAAGAAUAAGCACCGGCUAACUACGUGCCAGCAGCCGCGGUAAAAC